rnacentral:rRNA from 1 species
UUUCGAUCAUCGUUCACAAUGGGGGCAACCCUGAUGGCGCGACGCCGCGUGGGGGAUGAAGGUCUUCGGAUUGUAAACUCCUGUCAUUGGGGACUAAUGGCCAGGCUCAUACCCUGGUUUGAAUUAACCCAAAGAGGAAGCAGUGGCUAACUCUGUGCCAGCAGCCGCGGUAAUACAGAGACUGCAAGCGUUACUCGGAUUCACUGGGCGUAAAGGGAGCGCAGGCGGACUGGUGUGUCAGGCGUGAAAUCUCGGGGCUCAACCCCGAGGCUGCGCCCGAAACUACUAGUCUAGAGACUUGGAGGGGUAAGCGGAAUUCUUGGUGGAGCAGUGAAAUGCGUAGAUAUCAAGAGGAACACCAACGGCGAAGGCAGCUUACUGGACAAGAUCUGACGCUCAGGCUCGAAAGCGUGGGGAGCAAAAGGGAUUAGAUACCC